rnacentral:rRNA from 1 species
GCCUGCUGUGCUGCGACCCAACCCCCAAUUUGAAGCAACUAGGUGCUAGGCAGCGGCAGCGGCAUCUGUCACCGGCAGGAAGGCAGACAGGCAGCAUCCCAUCACCGGCGUGCUUGCGACAACGCGCCGCAGGUCGUCCAUCUCUGCUUCUGGCCCGAGGAUGGCCGACGCUGCCCUCGGCGUGGUGCAAUGGGUGGUGAGCAAGGCGCUAGCCACCGUCACGGAUAUCUUCCAGGAGGCUUGGGAGGGCACCAGGAUGUUUGGUCCCAACGUUGAGGCCCUCAGGAUGGAACUGCUGCUCGUCAAGGCCACGCUCGAAAAUGCUGCCUGCAAGGAGAUCAGCGGUCCAGCCAUGGAGGAGCUGUUGCAGAUGAUGCGGGACUCGGCGCACAAUGCUCAAGACUUGCUGGACGAGCUGGACUACUUCCGCAUCCAGGACAAGCUCCGCGGCACAUAUGAGGCUGCCGACGAGCACGGCGAGGGUGGUGUCCAGCACCUUGCCCGUGAUGUUCGCCACACUCGCAAAUCUAUUAGCAAACGGCUGGCAUCUUUCACCGGGUCCUGCUUUGGUGCCAAUGCUCGCCAUCCCCAACAAGAAGAUGCAAGACAACAUGUCAGCUGUUGCGCUUGGCAGCAUGCUAGGCACAUAACACGCGGCGAUUCCUCCUCUGCGCCAAACGCCAAUCAGGCUGAUCAGGAGGUCUCCCCGCAUCCACAUGUUCAUGGUAAUGAAGAUCGUGACAAUGCACCAGAAACACCAAUACCAGAGUUUAAUAGGCCUGAUUUCUCUCAAAGGAUGACUACCAUUGUAGAGAAACUGCAGCCUGUGCGUAAUGAGGUUGACAAGAUUUUGCAACGUUAUGACCGUAGAAGUGUUCUUCACAUUGCCCAGAGCCGUCCCACCACCACACCUCUGAGUGCAGAGCCAAAAAUGUAUGGGAGGGACCAUGUCAUGAAGAGUAUCAUAGAUGAUAUCACGGAGGGGCAAUACAGUGACAAGGCUCUAACUGUGCUUCCAGUUAUUGGUCCGGGGGGAAUUGGGAAGACAACUCUGAUACAACACAUAUAUAACAACCAGCAAGUGCGGAAUCAUUUUCCGGUCAGGAUUUGGAUAUGUGUGUCGUUUAAUUUCAACCUGGGUAAGGUGCUAGAACAGAUUAAAGAAUAUACCCUUGCGGCUGAAGGUGAAAAUGGGUGUAUGAGACCAGAAGAGCUGAUUGAACACAGAUUGAAAUCCAAGAGGUUCAUACUUGUAUUGGAUGAUAUAUGGCAGUUUACUAAUGUGGAUGACUGGGAAAAACUAUUAUUGAUACUCGGCAAGUCACAAGAAAAGGGCUCCAUGGUUCUAGUCACAACUCGGCAGAAAGAGAUAGCAGAUCAAGUUAAGAAAACUGUAGAGCCAAAAGAACUGAGUGGUUUAGAACCUGAAGAGUUUAGGAAGUUAUUCCUUGUUUAUGUCUUUGAUGCAGAGCAAUAUCCCAGUGAAAAACUUCAUUUGCGUGAGACUGGAGAUAAGAUAACAGAAAAACUAAGGUGCUCCCCUCUUGCAGCAAAGACCGUUGGUAGAUUACUGAGGACAGACCCUUGUUUGGCUCAUUGGAAAAGGGUCCUAGAAAGUAAAGAAUGGGUGAAGCAGACCAAUGGCAAUUGGAUUAUGCCUGCUUUGGAGCUUAGCUAUGACUUUCUCCCUUUCCACCUGCAACAAUGUUUUUCCUAUUCUGCAUUGUUUCCUGAAGAUUACCCUUUCAGAAGCCGUGAGCUCAUCAGCCUGUGGAUUGGACUAGAUAUUUUGAUACUUGAUGGUCAAAAUCAAACACUUGAAGACAUAGGUUUCAGAAAUUUACAGGAGUUAGUCAUCCAUGGAUUUUUCAGAGAAGAGCAAGUUGAUGGUGAUCGGUGUUAUGUUAUGCAUGACCUGCUGCAUGAUUUGGCAUUGAAGGUUGCAUCUCAUGAUUGCCUUAGUUUACGUUUCCCUGAUGUUGGAUCAGUAAAAAUUUAGCCAACAACCCGACACUUGUCUAUUAGCACAGAGGACUUGGAUAAAUAUGAUGCAGUGUCUGGUGAAAAAUUAAAGACUAAAUUGGAAAAACUGAAGACAACAGUGAAGGUUGAACAUUUGCAAACACUGAUGUUAUUUGGGGAAAUGGAUGAAGGUUUUGCCAAGAUACAUGGUGAUUUUUUUGGGGAAGCAAAUGCUCUUCGUGUUCUUUAUUUUCCCCACCUGAUGUGCCCCAUGGAGUCUGUGUUACAUACCUUUUCAAGACUUGUCCACCUACGAUGCCUAUGUCUAGGAACACGGAUGAGACAGAUGCAGUUACCACCUAACAUCUCUAAAUUUUAUCAUUUAAGGGUUCUAGAUCUUGAGAGGUGGGGUGGCAGUGGUGAUUUCCCCGAAGACAUGUGCAACCUUGCAAAAUUGUGCCACUAUUAUCCCCCAAGGGAUGAUGGGCUUCAGUUUGAUAUUUAUAAUGUGGGAAAACUUAAACUCUUAGAAAAGUUAAUGGUAUUUCGUGUCAAUAAAAAGAAUGAAGGAUUUGAACCAAAGCAGCUUGAGCAUUUGACCAAGCUAUGGGAGCUUGGCAUCUACAACCUUGAGAAAAUACAUACAAAAGAGGAGGCAGCUCAAGCAAAGCUGGUUGAGAAAAAGUGCUUGAGGAGGUUAAAAUUGGACUGGGAUAGUGAGCAAUCUAGCAUUGAGCCUGGUGUGGAAGCAGUGGUUCUUGAGAGCCUUAAACCACAUGGAAAUCUUCAAGUACUGUGCAUUAGAGGGCAUGGAGGCCCUUCUUGUCCAACAUGGCUGGGUGAUGUGUGGGAUCUUCGUGAACUAAGGUUGAAGGAUAUGGCAAGACUGAAGGAGCUUAUUAUAGGGAAAAGCUUUUUCAUGCUAAUAAAGCUUGAACUCAUUGGCCUAGCAAGUUUUGAAAAAUGGCUUUACACAAGUAAACCAGAGUCUUCCCUAGGUGGAGACGUGUUGCCAAGGGAUGCUCAUAUCUUUCCUGCUUUGCAAGUGCUGAUUAUCAAAAACUGCCCGAAAAUCGAGUUUCCGGUUUCAAACAACAUUCUUUACCUAGAUUGGUUUCCCAAACUACAAGAGCUUGAGAUACGGUACUGUCCAGAAUUCUCAUUCGUGAUUCCAAUAUCCCGGAUUGAAAGUCUGCGUCGUGUCACGAUCAAAGGUGUCAAGCUACUAGAAAAAUUUGAGUACACAAAAUCAUCUGAUGGAGCAGAAUUGGAAAUUAUUGGAAAGGGUGAUCUGCAUAGCUUAGACCAAGUGUUAGUUUUCGAUGAAAAAACAAGUCUUGAGAAACUGACACUCCAGGGGUGCCCACCUCUAGAGUUAAAGCACCUUAUGAUGUUAAGCUCGUUGAAGAAAUUGAUUGUAAAAUGUUCAGUUAGUCUGGUUGGACCACUAAGAGGUCAGAGUAAUGGGAAAUGCCAUCUCCCUGUUGAGUAUAUGAGGAUCGAGUGGUUAAAAGGUAUUAGUGGAAAGGAAUUGACGGAGCUCCUCCCCCACCUCCCAAUGCUCUCCAAACUGGAAAUAAUUCGUUAUCGAAGAAGGGAAAUGAUGUUUUCGCGGCGGUAUCAGCAACCAAUGGAGAUGGAGGAAGAUGAAGUAACAGCAGCAGAAGGGGAAGAUGAUGAUGGGACACUGCUCUUUCCAGCUUAUCUCUCCGACUCACUACAGGAUGCUCAUAUGUUCCCUCUUUUGCAAGUGCUAAUUAUUAGAGAUUGGCCGAAGCUCUUGAGGUUCCCUUUCUCAAACCACAUUGUUUCCCCAGAUUGGUUCCCCAAACUACAAGAGCUUGAGAUACAAGGCUGUCCAGAAUUCUCAUGGGUGAUUCCCAUCUCCUGGAUUAACAGUCUGCGUCGUGCCACGAUAAAAAAUGUAAAGUUACUACAGGAGUUUGUGUACUCAAAAUCAUCUGGUAGAGCAGAAUUGGAAAUCGUUGGACGGGGUGAUCUGCAUAGCUUAGACCAAUUGUUAGUUUUCGAUAAAGAAACAUGUCUUGAGAAGCUGACACUGCUGAGGUGCCCACCGCUGGAGUUGAAGCACCUUCUGAAGCUAAAAUCGCUGAAGACAUUGAUUGUACACCUUUCAGAUGGUCUGGUUGGACCACUAGUAGGUCAGGGUGAUGUGGAAUGGCAGCUUCCUAUUGAGCAUAUCGAGAUCUACAACAUAAAUGGUAUUAUUGGCAAGGAUUUGACCGAGCUACUCCCCCACCUCCCGGGGCUCUCCAAAUUGAAAAUAAGUGAUUGUGAAAACAUAAAAAAGCUGGUAGUGGGGGUGGGUGUGCAACAAACAGCAUCAGAAGCAUCAGAGAUGGGCGCGAGGUGAAAUAACAGCGGCAGCAGAGGAAGAGGAUGAUGGGGUGUUGUUCUUCCCAGCUCAUCUCUGUGACUCACUACUGGAGUUUGAGUUCGAUGACUGCCCAGACCUAGUCCUGGUGGAGCCACCAACUCUUGUUCCUGGAAGAGGAGGGCUCCAAGCCUUGCAAACCCUUCAGAGAUUAAGCAUAGCGCCUUCGCCCAGGUUUUUAUCCAGAUUGGAAAUAGUGCCUUCCCAUCACAUUUUUCCUUCGUCCCUGCAAUUCCUGGAGCUUAUGGAUGUGAAGGGCUUGAUGACACUGGAGCCCCUCUCAAACCUCUCCUCUCUUGUCACAUUAAAACUGUUGAAUUGUGGAGAGGGUCUGACAUGUCGGGGCUUGCAGCCUCUCCUUAGCACCGGGGGCCAGCUCAAAGAAUUAAGACUCUCUUUCAGCCCUAAAUUCUUUUCUGGUUGGGAGGACGUUGAAGGAGGAGGAGAGCAGCAGACACAUUUUGUUUCAUCCACACUGCAUGAGCUCAUGACGGAUGACGCAGCAGGAUUUCUUUCUGCACCCAUCUGCAGCUUCCUCUCGUCCUCCCUUACCAAGCUGAAACUUUGUGGGGACUGGUCUGAAGGGAUAGAGCGCUUCAGCAAGGAGCAAGAGGACGCCCUUCAGCUCCUCUCCUCCCUCCAGGAACUAGAGUUUUGGCAAUUUCACAAUCUUCAGCAACUCCCAGCAGGAUUGCACAACCUUACCAGCCUCAAGGAAUUAGCGAUCCACUCUGCAACCCUCUCGUCAUUGCCCAACGAUGUCCUCCCUGAAUCACUUCAAAAGCUAGUUAUUAUAUACGGGUGCAACGAGGAGCUAAAACGGCACUGCAGGGGGUUAGAGGGAACCAUCCCAGAACUCAUAAUACACUGAUCCAAGGGCCGUGCCUUGGAGUUUCCAUGUAUAUUCUUCUAGCCUUGUAGUGUUCUGCUCUUUCCAUACGACACUCUUGCCUCAUGCAGUGACAUGAGGGUCUUGUGGCCGCUGUCUUCCUUCCUGUACAUAAAUCUGGUGUUUUUUCAAUGUAACGGGUUUCUUCCUAUUUGCACUUAAUUUGGGUUAUUGUCAUCCCUUCAUUAAGAUGUGUCAGUCUACUUUCCUAUUUUGAGUGUCACGAUCAAGAUAGCAGUACGACAUCAGUAUGGAAUAAAUGAGACUUCGGGUCAGUCUACUGAUAUUAAGGCGUUUACAUUUUGUCCAAAAACUCAUCAAGACUGAAGGUGUACCUGGAAAAUGUUCAGUUUUAGGGAUUAAAGGAUCAUCUUGGCAUAAUUAUGGGAAACCAUGAGUUGUCAGUGUUUUGCUACUGAUAAGGAUCUUCGCAAGAAUAGCCUGUAUACCAUAGCAGUGCACGUGUGAAGCCAAUUCAGAUCAUGGGGAGUAGUAGCAGUUUGGAGGUGAAUUUGUGCAAGUGUUACAGUGGAGCCCAGGACAUUGUCUUCUUACUUCUAUGAGUUCAGAAGAUCUCCCCUUUCGAAGCACUACUCAUCACCAACAGACUGGCAGAGCUGCACAUGCGGUCUCGGGAAUCAUUUAUGCAUUUGAAGUGAUACAACAUGGGCAACUGCAGCUUCGAAUUGGUCCCUAGUUGGUCUUCAGAUGGACUCCCCCUCUAAAUCAGAAAUGUGCUUCAUUGCUCCAGGAAGAUGCAGCCAACAGACCUCAAACUGGUAUUGCAAAGGUGUGACUGCAAUGGAGAAGGUAUAGAUGCCGCUCAAAGAACAGUUCGGGGCACCGAAAGGAACACCCCUACUCAUGGCUCCUGCCAAGAACGGCACGCAAGGAACUGCGGAUGUUCAUUCAUGCGAUCGAGAACCGGCUGCCGAGGAGGUGACGAAUUUACUUGCAACCACUCCGCGGAGCCACGCUAAGGAAGACGCAGAGGAAACACUGUCUAGGAUAGCAGAAGCAUAGCCUGCAGCUAGGUGGUGGUACAUCUGAAGCCUGUCAGCCUUGCCAUGUCACUCAGAAAUUUCUGCGAUGAGUAGGAACCAGACUGAAGAAAUCGACACUUGCCAUGCUGUUAACUGAAGAAAUCGACACUUGUCAUGCUGUUAACUGAAGAAAUCGACACCCAGCAGUCGAUUGGCGCCAAAUCGGAAGGGCUCAACGUCGACCGUCAGAUCUUCAUCUAACAGCAACUUACAGCUUCGCUCGGAGUUACAACAGGCCACCACCCUUGGUCGCACAUCCAGCGGCUCUGAACACUGGAGCGGCCAAAGUUUGAGAAUAGUACUGUCUGUUGUAUGCAACUUGCUCUGUUCCAGUAUUGGGCUAUCAGCCUAUCACUGGGAAAGACCAAUCUCCUCGGAAGCAACAGAUUCAAUUGGGGGAAGGUGUGGUUGACUGAGGCAGUCUUCUGCCGCUGCAACAUCCACGCAAUAAUGUGUACCAGAUCCAUCUUAAGUACACGCUAGUCGCACAGAUGAAGUUGUUGUUGAAGAAGAUUUUUUGAAGGUGACCCAUGCUGCGGCUGCAGUACUGUCCAAGAAAAGUAUCAAGGUCAUAGUGACAAACUAACGACCAAGAUUAUCAUUUCGUCGAGCCCCAAAUACAUGAAGUUGCAGCUGAAAGCCUUUUAUUACCCAAAGGCCAAAACUGGCACUGCAAAGGUGUGAUAGAUCCCAUUGAAAAGUUCAGGGCACCAAACGGCAAACGCAAUGUGGUACUCACGGUUCCCGCCAAGAACAGCAUGCAAGGACUUCUAUACAUCUGCUCGGCGACCUCAGCAACAGGUGUACAUAAAACACCGGAGAGCGUUCAUUCAUGCGAGAAUCGCUGUCAAGGAGGGUGAUGGAUUGAGUUGCAACCAGUCCGCGGAAGAUCUGAAGCCAAGCUAAGGAAGAAGCAGAAACACUGCCUAGGCUGGCAGACGCACAUAUAGCCUGUCGGCUUGUGAUGUUUGCUCAGAAUUAAAUUGCUGUGAUGAGCAUGUACGGUGUGAGGCCUUUUUCAUGUUCAUAACGUGUGUGCAAUGGAACCAGACUGCAUCAUCUUCUGAAGAAAUCGACAUUUGUUAUGAUGUUGUUAACUGAAGAAAUCGACAGCUGUCAUGUUGUUAACUGAAGAAAUCAACACUUGUCAUCUUGUUAACUGAAGAAAUCGACACUUCUCAUGAUUUUAACUGAAAGAAACCGACGCCCAGCAGUGGAUUGGCGGCAUGCAAGCUCCACCCCGACUUACGACACUCCACCACCCUUGGUCGCACAUCCAAGAAAACGGCUCUGAAGACUGUAGUUGGGUCGCUAUUUGAAUUAUUAUUACCUUUAUUACUGUCUCCUUGUUCACUUGCUUUACUUUUGCAUUAAAGUUCAGAAGAUUACCUUUCACUGGUUGUAAUGGGUAUAAAACCAACCCCGGAUCUAUCUGAGUGCCAUGGACCUCAUCUUGCUGUACUUGGGGUAAACCUCCUGGCUGGCAUAUCAUCAAAAG